CACAACCAAACAUUACGAAGAAUCAAAACCCUAAAAUUCAAAAAGAAAAAAAAAUCGGAAAGAAAAAGAAUUCAGACCAAGACAGAAGGGCUUAACGGAGGAGGAGAGAGGGAAAAAUAUGCUCACCUGCGAUACCCUAAUCCUAACUGAACCGCUUGGUAUUUGCCCUCUGAGAUCUAUACGACACUAGAGAAAAAUAUAUACACACAUGAAGAGAUUCUAAAGAGGAAUCGUUCAAACGGGACUCAUGGGAAGGGAUGGGGCGGGGUCGUCAUUGGAGAGCUCGACAGCGAUUCAGAGGUCAAUGCCCAGAUUUUUCUUCCCCAAUGCCGGAAAUGCCAUUGAACUUCCAGCUCUUGACCAGAAACUUUUUGUCCCGUCAGGGCGGGGAAGGGGAAGGGCAUUUCGGGAAGUCAGCUCUGAUGGUGGCGAGAGCCGACAACGGCAGGGAAGAAGCGUUCCAAUUUGGAAUUAAAUUUUAUUUUAUCUUAACAAAGAAAUCGCUAUCCUCACAGCCUUUCUCACCGCAUUGUUCCACGGUCAGCG
rnacentral:lncRNA from 1 species